rnacentral:rRNA from 1 species
ACGCUCGACACCUACGGGAGACAGCAGUGGGGAAUAUUGGGCAAUGGGCGCAAGCCUGACCCAGCAACGCCGCGUGAAGGAAGAAGGCUUUCGGGUUGUAAACUUCUUUUGUCAGGGAACAGUAGAAGAGGGUACCUGACGAAUAAGCUCCGGCUAACUACGUGCCANNCGCGUAGUAUNGNGGCGNGCGAGACG